UUACCAAACUGUUGCCUCGGCGGGAUCUCUGCCCCGGGUGCGUCGCAGCCCCGGACCAAGGCGCCCGCCGGAGGACCAACCAAAACUCUUAUUGUAUACCCCCUCGCGGGUUUUUUUAUAAUCUGAGCCUUCUCGGCGCCUCUCGUAGGCGUUUCGAAAAUGAAUCAAAACUUUCAACAACGGAUCUCUUGGUUCUGGCAUCGAUGAAGAACGCAGCGAAAUGCGAUAAGUAAUGUGAAUUGCAGAAUUCAGUGAAUCAUCGAAUCUUUGAACGCACAUUGCGCCCGCCAGUAUUCUGGCGGGCAUGCCUGUCCGAGCGUCAUUUCAACCCUCGAACCCCUCCGGGGGGUCGGCGUUGGGGAUCGGCCCUGCCUUGGCGGUGGCCGUCUCCGAAAUACAGUGGCGGUCUCGCCGCAGCCUCUCCUGCGCAGUAGUUUGCACACUCGCAUCGGGAGCGCGGCGCGUCCACAGCCGUUAAACACCCAACUUCUGAAAUGUUGACCUCGGAUCAAGAAAGAAUACCCGCUGAAC
rnacentral:rRNA from 1 species